UACGUAGGGUGCAAGCGUUAAUCGGAAUUACUGGGCGUAAAGCGUGCGCAGGCGGCUUUGCAAGACAGAUGUGAAAUCCCCGGGCUUAACCUGGGAACUGCAUUUGUGACUGCAUGGCUGGAGUGCGGCAGAGGGGGAUGGAAUUCCGCGUGUAGCAGUGAAAUGCGUAGAUAUCAGGAGGAAUACCGAUGGCGAAGGCAGGUCCCUGGGCCAAUACUGACGCUCAUGCACGAAAGCGUGGGGAGCAAACAGG
rnacentral:rRNA from 1 species